rnacentral:rRNA from 1 species
GGGGAAGGGUAGCUUGCUACCUAACCUAGCGGCGGACGGGUGAGUAAUGCUUAGGGAUCUGCCUAUUAGUGGGGGACAACAUUCCGAAAGGAAUGCUAAUACCGCAUACGCCCUACGGGGGAAAGCAGGGGAUCUUCGGACCUUGCGCUAAUAGAUGAGCCCAAGUCAGAUUAGCUAGUUGGUGGGGUAAAGGCCUACCAAGGCGACGAUCUGUAGCGGGUCUGAGAGGAUGAUCCGCCACACUGGGACUGAGACACGGCCCAGACUCCUACGGGAGGCAGCAGUGGGGAAUAUUGGACAAUGGGCGCAAGCCUGAUCCAGCCAUGCCGCGUGUGUGAAGAAGGCCUUUUGGUUGUAAAGCACUUUAAGCGAGGAGGAGGCUACCGAGAUUAAUACUCUAGGAUAGUGGACGUUACUCGCAGAAUAAGCACCGGCUAACUCUGUGCCAGCAGCCGCGGUAAUACAGAGGGUGCGAGCGUUAAUCGGAUUUACUGGGCGUAAAGCGUGCGUAGGCGGCUUUUUAAGUCGGAUGUGAAAUCCCUGAGCUUAACUUAGGAAUUGCAUUCGAUACUGGGAAGCUAGAGUAUGGGAGAGGAUGGUAGAAUUCCAGGUGUAGCGGUGAAAUGCGUAGAGAUCUGGAGGAAUACCGAUGGCGAAGGCAGCCAUCUGGCCUAAUACUGACGCUGAGGUACGAAAGCAUGGGGAGCAAACAGGAUUAGAUACCCUGGUAGUCC